GGAUGCGCAUGCGCAGACAGAGUGUGCGAGCGGCGGGCCUUGACCUUUCGGGAAAAAAAACUCACGGACGGUGACAGCGAGGCGGAUAACAGUCUUCAGUACCUGCUGGACUUUGAAGCUGUGGAUUCUGGGACUGUUAGAAAAGCUCCAACAAAAUGAGGAAGAGGAGGGGCAGAAACACAAUUAGAUGGAAUUACAAUUGGAUGGAAGGCGAGGACAAGAAGAAGGAAGCUUAGGAUGAGGAGGAAGAGAAGCAGCAGGAGCAUCUUUAGGGAUCCCUAUGAUGUCAUUGAGAGGCAGCGGCGA